GCGUGUGCAAGGCAUUUUUGAACGUGUCACUGUCAGUUACCUUGAUUACUCCAAUUUGUCACUCAACCUGUUAUAAACUUUUAUUCGUUGGCUAGGUUGUAGCAACCUCGUGAUGGAUAUAGGGAAGUAUCAUGAGUAUCAUGUAGUAGCCUAAACCUAUCAAUGACCGUCAUCCAAUAUGCUUGGGGCAGCAUGUAGCCUAGUGGUUAGAGCGUUGGGCCAGUAACCGAGGCAAAGCUAACGUCUGUGCUCGCAUACACCCUUAAAUGACAUGCACUUGAAAAAUGAACAGUUACUGUUUGUCCCUUGAGACGGUGUAGCAACAACAUAGGCAGUAACACUUCCUCAAAAUAGUCAGAAUUAAUCUAUGAUAAAUCAAGAAAUCUGUCAUUCAUUUGGACCUUUUUGCCAAAGAAGUCUUCGUCACGCAACUAACUAAAAGAUUUGGUCCAGUACUUCUCAAGUGAAAAAAUGUGCAUGAAAACAGCGUUGACUUAUUUUAACCGAAGAUGAGUAUUUUCAACAUGAGAAGUCAAGUGAGCUCUAGGGUCGGAAUUAAAUUGUAUUGUAAAAUUAUGCAGUCAUUGCAGUGUAAAUUCAACUCAAUUCAGUGGAAUGAAAAAACGCGGCAAUCCUUUGCUGUGGUUGUGGAUGAUCAUUAUUUUGACUUGCUUGUCAACGCAAUUGCUCCUGCACAUCCUCAAAUAAUCAGUUUACAGUCAAAGUUAACUUGCUCCUAACGCUCCAGGGAAUAACUUCAUUGGCCACCUCAAUAAUUAUGAUAACCCUUACACGGAACCCAAACCGGCUGCGCACGUGCGCCAUCUGAUCCUGAUGAAAUGUAUUUGGAUUCUUCUGCUUUCACCUGUGAUUGAGGAGUGAUAACAUGGUUUUCAUCAAAUUCAGCAUACCAGAGGAAAGACAUACAUCAAAGUGUAUGACUAGUCUCACACAGAAAUUGACUCAGAGGUGUUUGAAGAGAUUGCAAAGGAGUCACCUGGCACCUUCUGGACCACUCUAGGCGAUGAAGGACUUGCUUUUCAAUCAUCAUCGUCAUCCUCUGUAAGAUCUGAUGACACUAAUUCUGAAUUUCACUGUGUGACCAUCAUGAAGAAGCAGCCACUGGUGAAGGGAGCCAACUCAAAAGAUAGUGCCGGAUAAACUGAGGCUAAAGCGGAACAUUACUAUGAUCAAGAGAGUGGGUCUGGAUACAUGGCAUGAUUGAAGACCAUACAAAAAAAAGCACAUUUCCCAAAGUUGGUGGGCCAGGCCAUGGUCGACAGCCCUUUCACCCGUGACGAAGUGCCAACUAACGAAGACAUCGAGGCAGCCAUUGCUGUUUUGAGAUACUCUGCUGAUGAAGACUCUGUCCGGGAGAAGAUGAAGACUGCCUUCCCUCAUUGCCAAGCAAUGGUUAAUGAUGCAGACAAAUCAGCAGAUGUCUUCUCAGUCUUCCCCAGGGUAUUGGAUAUACCAGGACUGAUAGAACAAGACUUCAGGCUUCUGUUUGGUGAGGCCACAGCCAACAAAUUCUUGGAGAAGUGGCCAACCACUUUCAAGGGAAAAGUGAUGGAAAGUCAUGGACUUACACCCACCACAGAACUCUUGGAAUUGAUGUGCAAUGCUGAGUCAGCUGUUGAAAAUGAGAAUGGACAGAUGUCUGCAUGUCAAGGGGUUGAUCUGCUCAUCAGAUUUCAAAAGGUUGGAACCAGUGUGCAGCAGCAUCUGGAUAGCAUCACCCAAAGCGGUCAGCCCUACCUUCUUGCCUUGGGAUCCAUAAAGAGCAACAUUCACUCCUACUUUGUUGUGAUCAACAAGCAUGCGGUUCCAUGCAAGGCAACGGCCUCAGUAGGAACCUUUGACGAACUCUUUAAGGCUCACUUCGUCGUUGGUACAUCAUACAGUUCUUGCCUGAGUAACUUCUUCACUUUUGUGCAAACAACCAUCUAUAACAUUGAUAUGGGGGAAACAAAGGAGACUCCCCAAGUUGCUGAGUUGAGAGCAAGAAUGUUGCGUUAGUGAAGAUCUGCUAAGGUGAAAUUAUGAAGUGUUUUCUAUGCAAGACUGAGCAUACAAGUUCCGCUUCAAGUGUCAAUCAGAAAAUUAUGAUUGUAUAAUAAUAGUAAUUGUCAAGCACCUUAAAGUAAUUAAUGGACUUUGUCCAGGGAGAACUCUUUAUCUAAAAUGUGGUCAAGUGGGAUGUUCACGUUCCUUUGGUAGCUUUUCUGGUUUUAGAAAGCAUUUAAGUAAUUGCCACAUUAGCAGUUUAUUUGGUUCAGUCGGUGGUGUUGAUUUUUCAAACUCUCAAAGCACCUUUAACACUUGUAAAGGUAGUGAUGUUGGAGAAGUGUUGACUGAAAAUGUAGAGUGAGUCAGCGACGUCUUCCCCAGACAUUGUAAAUAGUUGUGCGUCUGUAAUUGCUGAUCUAAAGGCAGCAGGUGUAGGUCAAAGUACAGUUAAUUCUGUUGUGAAUUCCAUGGAAGAGAGAGUUCAUGAUAUCCAACAGCGAGCUAAAUAAAAUGUCGUUAAGCAUGUUCUAUGUGAUGAAGGACAAACUGAAAUAUCCAAGAAAGGAGGCAUCUUUUGAAGGGUUAGAGAAUCCUUUCACUGUGCUAAAUUCUGAAUACAAGAUGUCCACAUUUUUCAGAGAAGUGGGAAACUGUAGAACCAGUUGAACAUGUCAUUGGCUCAAGAUUUGACACAAGACGAAACAAAAAGACUGGAACAUAUGACCAGAUUGUAGUUCAAGACAAAUUCAUGUAUGUUCCAAUAUUGUCUACCUUGCAGUCAAUAUUCAAAUGUAAACAUGUUUCAGAGAUGUUUCGCGUUCCUAGUGACACAAGACUUGUGUGAUGGAUCUUUUAUUAGGAGUCACCCUCUUUUCUCAACAGAAAGACACGUCAUACAGAUUCAAUUGUUCUAGGAUUAUUUUAAGGUUGCAAACCCUGUGGGUUUCAAGUGAGGAUUUCAUAAAUUGGGUGCUAUAUAUUUUACUUUAAGGAACUUCUCUCCUAAAUGGAAUUCUUGUUGGGCUAACAUAUACCUGUGUGCCUUCUGCAUGAAGCUCAAGAUCUUAAAUGUUAUGGAUUAAGGGCAAUCCUUGCUCCUAUUGUUUGAGACAUUAAAGUGUUAGAGUGAUGGCAUUGUGGUUCCUUUAUACAGUGGUUGUGUUCAUGGCAGUGUGGUUCAGAUUACUGGCGAUAAUCUGGGUCUACAUAGUUUGUUUGGCCUGGUGGAGUCUUUCAGCGCAAGGUAUUGCUGUAGGCUCUGUCUUGCAGAAAAAGAUGACUCAGACAGAAUUCUCUGAAGAUUGUCCCAAGAUAGUGUUGGGAACUAAAGAAAUGCACACUACUCACUGUCAGAAAAUGAAUAGGAAUCCAUAUCUUCCAUACGUUUUUGGUGUGACGCAUUCGUGUUUAUUAAAGUGAGUAUUAUCACAGAACUGAGAUCUUCUCAGUUGAUGUGAUGCAUGAUGUGUUAGAGGGUGUGGCCCAGUACGAGUUGAAGUGAUUUAUCUGAAGAAAAAACAUGUAACAUCAGCAGAAUUAGAUUUAAGAAUACAAAGUUUUGAUUAUGGAUUAAUGGAAAGAAACAAACCAGUGGCUGUGAAUUUAUCAGAAGGAUCGAAUGAUUUGGGGCUUAAUGCAAUUCAGUCACAGUGCCUACUGAGAAACGCUCUUAUUUUUGGGGAUUUGGUAACUUAUACUGAACAGCACUGGGGCCUACUCCUUUUAUUACUUCAAAUAGUUAACAUAAUAUUUUCUCCUAUGUUAACAGAGGGUCUCUGUGUUUAUUUAAACAGUUGUUUUCCCAGAGAUAACUUUUACCAAAGCACCAUUUUCUAAUCCAUUAUCCCCGCUGCAUCUAGAAAAUUGGACCUGUAAUUCAUAGUUGGUGUAUGCAGUAUGAAGGCAAGCAUGUUUUUUUGAAACUACAAUCUUAAAAAAAAAAAAAAUUAAAGACUAUAUGGCGUAUAAUUGGCAAUCCUCUACACUUUUUAGUCAAUAAGACAUUGGUCCUGUGAAAUUGUGCCUUUGAAUAUGGUAAAAGCUGGUUCUAUGAUUGCUAUGGCAAUUAGCACUCAGGUUAUGAAAGUGGACUGGGCUAAAUACCAUAUGGCUUUGUUUACCGCCCAAGCAUGUUAUCUGUUGUAAAAUUGAAUUUGAAAUGCCUCCGUUUUAUCAAAUGGAAAAGUGUUGCUGCUCACAGUGCCUUUAAUUACUCUAGCUUUUCAAGAACAUUUCAAUGUGUACAAAGUAACCAAGUCAAAACAUGGUUUUGUUUUCUUUCAUGUCCGACAACCUGCAUUAUCACAGACCAUUUGAUAUACAAAUGUCAUAUGGAAGGAAUUAGAUAUCUAUUUGUUGUCCCAUAUUGCUUUCUUGGUGAGCAUGUCACUUGCGAUGUUGACAGUGUAAAUGGUUACAUUGAUUAAAGGCAAGGUGAGUGGUGGGUUGAUGUGCAUUAACAUUGAAAUGGAUAACUUUUAUCAUGUGUAAUUGUGUUUAUUCACAUUGACACCAAGUUAAGUAAUUGGGUAAUACUGCUGUGCAGUGGAGCUUUCUGGAUAACACUAGAGAAAAAAACAAGUGUCAAUUUUAACACAACUUUGAGUAUACUUGACUCUGAAAAGCGUGAUUAAAUAACACUGCAGAGUGCAACUAAACCA